CCUACGGGUGGCAGCAGUGAGGAAUCUUGGUCAAUGGGCGAGAGCCUGAACCAGCCAAGUCGCGUGCAGGAUGCAGGAUCUAUGGUUUGUAAACUUCUUUUAUAAAGGAAUAAAACGAGUCACGUGUGCCUUUUUGCAUGUACUUUAUGAAUAAGGAUCGGCUAACUCCGUGCCAGCAGCCGCGGUAAUACGGAGGAUCCGAGCGUUAUCCGGAUUUAUUGGGUUUAAAGGGAGCGUAGAUGGGUUGGUAAGUCAGUUGUGAAAGUUUGCGGCUCAACCGUAAAAUUGCAAUUGAUACUGGCAGUCGUGAGUACAGUUGAGGUAGGCGGAAUUCGUGGUGUAGCGGUGAAAUGCUUAGAUAUCACGAAGAACCCCGAUGGCGAAGGCAGCUUACUAAACUGUGACUGACAUUGAUGCUCGAAAGUGUGGGUAUCAAACAGGAUUAGAUACCCGUGUAGUC
rnacentral:rRNA from 1 species